rnacentral:rRNA from 1 species
CAGCAGCCGCGGGAAUACGUAGGAUGCGAGCGUUAAUCGGAAUUACUGGGCGUAAAGCGUGCGCAGGCGGUUUUGUAAGACAGGCGUGAAAUCCCCGGGCUCAACCUGGGAAUGGCGCUUGUGACUGCAAAGCUAGAGUGCGGCAGAGGGGGAUGGAAUUCCGCGUGUAGCAGUGAAAUGCGUAGAUAUGCGGAGGAACACCGAUGGCGGAGGCAAUCCCCUGGGCCUGCACUGACGCUCAUGCACGAAAGCGUGGGGAGCAAACAGGAUUAGAUACCCCCGUAGUCCCUGUCUCUUAUAC